rnacentral:rRNA from 1 species
AGCAGCCGCGGUAAUUCCAGCUCCAAUAGCGUAUAUUAAAGUUGUUGCAGUUAAAAAGCUCGUAGUUGAAUUUCGGGAUUGACGUGAUGGUCAUGCCUUAAGGGGUAUGAACUGUUACUGUUGAUUUCUCACCUUCUGGAGAAACUUGAUGUCCUUUAUUGGGUGUCUUGCGGAUCCAGGACCUUUACCUUGAAAAAUUAGAGUGUUUAAAGCAGGCAUUUUUGCUCGAAUACAUUAGCAUGGAAUAGUAGAAUAGGACGGCAUGGUUCUAUUUUGUUGGUUUCUAGGAUCACCGUAAUGAUUAAUAGGGAUAGUUGGGGGCAUUAGUAUUCAAUUGUCAGAGGUGAAAUUCUUGGAUUUAUUGAAGACUAACUACUGCGAAAGCAUUUGCCAAGGAUGUUUUCAUUAAUCAAGAACGAAAGUUAGGGGAUCGAAGACGAUCAGAUACCGUCGUAGUCUUAACCAUAAACUAUGCCGACUAGGGAUCGGACGAUGUUAAUUUUUAAUGACUCGUUCGGCG